ACAUGCAAGUCGAGCGAGGACUUCGGUUCUAGCGGCGGACGGGUGAGUAACGCGUGGGAAUGUGCCCUUCUCUACGGAAUAGCCCUGGGAAACUGGGAGUAAUACCGUAUACGCCCUUUUGGGGAAAGAUUUAUCGGAGAAGGAUCAGCCCGCGUUGGAUUAGGUAGUUGGUGGGGUAAUGGCCUACCAAGCCGACGAUCCAUAGCUGGUUUGAGAGGAUGAUCAGCCACACUGGGACUGAGACACGGCCAGACUCCUACGGGAGGCAGCAGUGGGGAAUCUUACACAAUGGGGGCAACCCUGAUCUAGCCAUGCCGCGUGAGUGAUGAAGGCCUUAGGGUUGUAAAGCUCUUUCAGCUGGGAAGAUAAUGACGGUACCAGCAGAAGAAGCCCCGGCUAACUCCGUGCCAGCAGCCGCGGUAAUACGGAGGGGGCUAGCGUUGUUCGGAAUUACUGGGCGUAAAGCGCACGUAGGCGGACCGGAAAGUCAGAGGUGAAAUCCCAGGGCUCAACCUUGGAACUGCCUUUGAAACUAUCGGUCUGGAGUUCGAGAGAGGUGAGUGGAAUUCCGAGUGUAGAGGUGAAAUUCGUAGAUAUUCGGAGGAACACCAGUGUCGAAGUCGGCUCGCUGGCUCGAUACUUAC
rnacentral:rRNA from 1 species